GCUGGGAGGGGUGAUACAUGCCUGUGGUCCCAGCUUCUUAGGAGGCUGAGGCAGGAGGGUCCUUUGAGCCCAUGAGUUCCACGUCAGCCUGGGUAACAUAGUGAGACCCUAUCUCUU
rnacentral:sRNA from 1 species